UACAGAGGUCUCAAGCGUUGUUCGGAUUCAUUGGGCGUAAAGGGCGCGUAGGCGGCUCGUGAAGUCGGGUGUGAAAGCCCGGGGCUCAACCCCGGAACGGCAUCCGAUACUGGCGGGCUUGAGACCGGGAGAGGAGGGUGGAAUACCCAGUGUAGAGGUGAAAUUCGUAGAUAUUGGGUGGAACACCGGUGGCGAAAGCGGCUCUCUGGCCCGGAUCUGACGCUGAGGCGCGAAAGCGUGGGGAGCAAACAGG
rnacentral:rRNA from 1 species